GACGAACGCUGGCGGCGUGCUUAACACAUGCAAGUCGAACGAGUGGCGAACGGGUGAGUAACACGUGGGUGACCUGCCCUGCACUUCGGGCUAAGACUGGGAAACUGGGUCUAAUACCGGAUAGUGUGGGAUGGGCCCGCGGCCUAUCAGCUUGUUGGUGGGGUAAUGGCUACCAAGGCGCGACGGGUAGCCGGCCUGAGAGGGUGGGCGGCCACAUUGGGACUGAGACACGGCCCAGACUCCUACGGGAGGCAGCAGUGGGGAAUAUUGGACAAUGGGCGAAAGCCUGAUGCAGCGACGCCGCGUGGGGGAUGACGGCCUUCGGGUUGUAAAGUACUUUCGGCGGGGAGGCGUUACCCGCAGAAGAAGCACCGGCUAACUCCGUGCCAGCAGCCGCGGUAAUUC
rnacentral:rRNA from 1 species